rnacentral:rRNA from 1 species
CACGGAGUUAGCCGAUGCUUUUUCUUCGGAUACACGCAGUCCGGGACACGUCCCGGGUUUUGUUCUCCGACAAAAGAGGUUUACAACCCAUAGGGCCGUCUUCCCUCACGCGGCUUGGCUGGUUCAGGAUCUCUCCCAUUGACCAAUAUUCCUCACUGCUGCCUCCCGUAGGAGUCUGGUCCGUGCCUCAGUACCAGUGUGGGGGACCUUCCUCUCAGAACCCCUACGCAUCGUCGCCACGGUGGGCCGUUACCCCGCCGUCAAGCUAAUGCGCCGCAUGCCCAUCCUCUUCCGAUGAAUCUUUCCUCGAUCUCGGAUGCCCGAAACCGAUAUACGCGGGAUUAGCCUCCCUUUCGGAAGGUUGUCCCCCUGAAGAGGGCAGGUUGCAUACGUGUUACUCACCCGUGCGCCGGUCGCCGGCAAGGAAAGCAAGCUUCCCUCCCGAUGCCCCUCGACUUGCAUGUGUUAAGCCUGCCGCUAGCGUUCAUCCUGAGCCAGGAUCAAACUCU